UGCGGACGUCCUGCCGGUGGCCCGAGCCGGCGCGGGUCUUGCAUCCGUCGUCCGGGGAAGGCCUAUCAUACCCGUCGCGGUGCUCUUAACCGAGUGUCUCGAUGGGCCGGCACGUUUACUUUGAACAAAUUAGAGUGCUUAAAGCAGGCAGCAUCCGCCUGAAUACCGAGUGCAUGGAAUAAUGGAAUAGGACCUCGGUUCUAUUUUGUUGGUUUUCGGAAUCCCCGAGGUAAUGAUCAAUAGGGACAGACGGGGGCAUUCGUAUUGCGACGUUGAAGGUGAAAUUCUUGGAUCGUCGCAGGACGGACCGAAGCGAAAGCAUUUGCCAAGAAUGUUUUCUCUGAUCAAGAACGAAAGUUAGAGGUUCGAAGGCGAUCAGAUACCGCCCUAGUUCUAACCAUAAACAAUGCCAGCCAGCAAUCCGCCAAAUUUCCUCCGAUGACUCGGCGGGCGGCUUCCGGGAAACCAAGGCUUUUGGGUUCCGGGGGAAGUAUGGUUGCAAAGCUGAAACUUAAAGGAAUUGACGGAAGGGCACCACCAGGAGUGGAGCCUGCGGCUUAAUUUGACUCAACACGGGAAACCUCACCAGGCCCGGACACCGGGAGGAUUGACAGAUUGAGAGCUCUUUCUUGAUUCGGUGGGUGGUGGUGCAUGGCCGUUCUUAGUUGGUGGAGCGAUUUGUCUGGUUAAUUCCGAUAACGAACGAGACUCUAGCCUGCUAACUAGUCGCUUCCGGUAUCCUUGUGCUACCGGCGACUCCUGAUCUUCUUAGAGGGACAGGCGGCUUCUAGCCGCACGAGAUUGAGCAAUAACAGGUCUGUGAUGCCCUUAGAUGUUCUGGGCCGCACGCGCGCUACACUGAAGGAAUCAGCGUGUCCUCCCUGGCCGAAAGGUCCGGGUAACCCGCUGAACCUCCUUCGUGCUAGGGAUUGGGGCUUGCAAUUGUUCCCCAUGAACGAGGAAUUCCCAGUAAGCGCGAGUCAUAAGCUCGCGUUGAUUACGUCCCUGCCCUUUGUACACACCGCCCGUCGCUACUACCGAUUGAAUGAUUUAGUGAGGUCUUCGGACCGGUGGGCGAGGGGGUUCUCCUCCUCGAUUCCACCGGGAAGAUGCCCAAACUUGAUCAUUUAGAGGAAGUAAAAGUCGUAACAAGGU
rnacentral:rRNA from 1 species